rnacentral:rRNA from 1 species
ACGGGGAGCACUACAACGGUGGAGCCUGCGGUUUAAUUGGAUUCAACGCCGGAAAUCGUCGACCGGGGGCGACAGCAAUAUGAAGGUCAGGCUGAAGACCUUACCGGAUUAGCUGAGAGGUGGUGCAUGGCCGUCGUCAGUUCGUACUGUGAAGCAUCCUGUUAAGUCAGGCAACGAGCGAGACCCACGUCCACAGUUGCCAGCAUACCCUCCGGGGUGAUGGGUACACUGUGGAGACCGCCGCUGCUAAAGCGGAGGAAGGAAUGGGCAACGGUAGGUCAGUAUGCCCCGAAUCUCCCGGGCUACACGCGGGCUACAAUGGUUGGUACAAUGGGCAUCUACCCCGAAAGGGGAAGGAAAUCUCUUAAAGCCAAUCGUAGUUCGGAUUGAGGGCUGCAACUCGCCCUCAUGAAGCUGGAAUCCGUAGUAAUCGCGUUUCAACAGAACGCGGUGAAUACGUCCCUGCUCCUU